rnacentral:rRNA from 1 species
UGAGGAAUAUUGGUCAAUGGGCGCAAGCCUGAACCAGCCAUCCCGCGUGCAGGAAGACGGCCCUAUGGGUUGUAAACUGCUUUUCCAGGGGGAGAAGCUUGCGCACGUGUUGCGCAAUUGACGGUACCCUGGGAAUAAGCAUCGGCUAACUCCGCGCCAGCAGCCGCGGUAAUACGGAGGAUGCAAGCGUUAUCCGGAUUUAUUGGGUUUAAAGGGUGCGCAGGCGGAAUGGUAAGUCAGUGGUGAAAUCUCCCGGCUCAACCGGGAAACUGCCGUUGAUACUGCCGUUCUAGAGUACAGUUGGGGUGGGCGGAAUGUGUCAUGUAGCGGUGAAAUGCUUAGAUAUGACACAGAACACCGAUCGCUAAGGCAGCUCACCAAGUUGUAACUGACGCUCAUGCACGAAAGCGUGGGGAUCAAACAG